rnacentral:rRNA from 1 species
GCAGCAGCCGCGGUAAUACGAAGGGUGCAAGCGUUACUCGGAAUUACUGGGCGUAAAGCGUGCGUAGGUGGUGGUUUAAGUCCGUUGUGAAAGCCCUGGGCUCAACCUGGGAAUUGCAGUGGAUACUGGGUCACUAGAGUGUGGUAGAGGAUAGUGGAAUUUCCGGUGUAGCAGUGAAAUGCGUAGAGAUCGGAAGGAACAUCUGUGGCGAAGGCGACUAUCUGGGCCAACACUGACACUGAGGCACGAAAGCGUGGGGAGCAAACAGGAUUAGAUACCCCAGUAGUCCCUGUCUCUUAUAA